CCAGCGAACUUGGCAGAGAUGCCUUGGUGCCUUCGGGAACGCUGAGACAGGUGCUGCAUGGCUGUCGUCAGCUCGUGUUGUGAAAUGUUGGGUUAAGUCCCGCAACGAGCGCAACUCUUAUCCUUUGUUGCCAGCGAUUCGGUCGGGAACUCAAAGGAGACUGCCGGUGAUAAACCGGAGGAAGGUGGGGAUGACGUCAAGUCAUCAUGGCCCUUACGAGUAGGGCUACACACGUGCUACAAUGGCGCAUACAAAGAGAAGCGACCUCGCGAGAGCAAGCGGACCUCAUAAAGUGCGUCGUAGUCCGGAUCGGAGUCUGCAACUCGACUCCGUGAAGUCGGAAUCGCUAGUAAUCGUGGAUCAGAAUGCCACGGUGAAUACGUUCCCGGGCCUUGUACACACCGCCCGUCACACCAUGGGAGUGGGUUGCAAAAGAAGUAGGUAGCUUAACCUCCGGGAGGGCGCUUACCACUUUGUGAUUCAUGACUGGGGUGAAGUCGUAACAAGGUAAGCGUAGCGAG
rnacentral:rRNA from 1 species